rnacentral:misc_RNA from 1 species
UCGGUAGUUCUCCAUAAUUCCUAACCUAUAAAAUUCCUCUAUGAUUUUACAUUCACCGUACAAGUUUCGCUAGAAAUUCUAACGCAGUUCAAUUUGACGAUUGAAAGGGUUGCCAGCUACAACAAGGGGGUAAUUCUACUUUCUAGCAAUUUAGAUAAAACAACAAAACUUCAAUUCUUUUUUUUUGCGAACUCUUCAACUUCUAGUCUCCAAAAUAACUUUACAGAAAUACCAUUAAACGAAGCGGUACAUAUCCUGGAAAUAUUCACCAGCGAUCAGACACCUCAACCACGUACAGCAACAUGCAACAACUGUAUCCGCUAUUCCGUACCUCAAAGCUCAAACGAGAGAUGAUUCGCUUUUAUGAUCCCGUAACCUUCGGGAGUUAAAUGGCCCCAGACCCUUGGCGGAUCGGACGAUUAUUCGAUUAAUAAGUCUCAGCUAUUUCGGUGACACGAAAGAGAAUCCUCGACGAGGGUCGACAGUAGGCAAAGAAGAAACAUCGAUUCCAUGGAGUAGGACAAGGAACAGG